rnacentral:lncRNA from 1 species
GAGCCUCGAGUCAAGCUGAGAUAUUUUUUAAUUUCUUUUUCUUUUUCUUUUCAAAGGUCAACUUAUAAUCUGAAAAAUGAGUUGAACUUCGGAUCACACACCAAUCUUUUUUUCAAUUUCAGGCUUUCAAAAAAUAUAAAAAAUUAGACAAUCGAGCAAAAUUCAGUGCUUUUAAGUCUUUGCUCUAUCCCUGUUUCAUAGCAAUGAGCAAAGAGGGGCAGCUGUAAUCACUGAAUUUUGCCCGGUUUGAAUUUUGGGUCGGGUCGGUCUCGUAUGGGCCAAAUGAUCGGGCCCAUUAGGAUUUAAUUUUAGAAUUGUUUUAGCCCAUUUUUAAUGUUUGCUUUAAAUAUUAAUAAAAUAGUCAUAAUAAAAUUUUGAAAAAAAUAAAAAAUACAAAAAAAUAAAAAUUACGUUUUGGCCCCCAAACUUUUCAAAAAUUAUGUUUUACCCCCUAACUUUUUCUAAAUUUACAUCUUGACCCCUAAUAUUUCGUAAAUUACAGUCGGGCCCCUAAACUUUCCAGAAAUUACAUUUUAGCCCCAUAUUUUCUGAAAAUUACGUUUUUGCCCCAAAAACUUUGCACACUCUACAAUUCAGUCCUUCUGGGCAUGACAAGACUGCCCCCAACCAGCAUCCGGGCGUGCACCGCACCCUACGCCUGACACCGCCAAUCAGCCAUGCUCCCCACCUCCAUGCCACCUGAAAACAAGAAGGAAAACGACAGAAAAUUGAAGCAUUUAAAAGAAAAUUGAAGGAAAGGGAAGGGGGGAUUUUUUUUCGGCAACCAAAGAAACAAAAAAAAGCAGAGAAAAAAAUAAAAAUAGCAGCAAGCAAAGCCUCCACCAUUGCCUUGGUGGAAACACCACCACCGCAACCACCAUCACUACAACCACCAAAGCCACCACCUAAAAAACCCAAUCAAGAAGCAAUAUGAAUUUGAGAAAACCCAAGAAAAAGCUUCCAAAAAUCAGCAGCCAAGAACCUUUUAAAAAAAAAAUCAUUUACCUUGGAAUCGCCGGUCACCGAGUGUGGAGAGGAGCCGAGGGCGGAGAAGGUCGGCGCAAGUGGCGGCGGCGGUUAUGGGUCUUGGAGAAUAAGAGAAGAAGAAGAAAGGAAGGAGGGAAGAAGAAAGGAGAGAAAAAAAUAGAAAAAGAAAGAAAAGAAAAUAAAAUAAAAAGAUAAAUAAAAAUAAAUCAGUCGGGUCAAUCCGACCCGACCCGUCCGACCCGCGACCCGUCAACAGGCCAAAUCAGCAGCAGCAAGAUACCCAGCAAGCCCAGCAAAUUAGGCCCAAAAAGGGUAGCCCAAGAGAAAAAAAACAAGCAGCAAAAAAAAAAACAAAGGAAAGCAGAAAAAAUAAAGGAGGAGCAGGCCCAAGCUGUUCCAAGCCCAGCGCCAGCAGCGGGCCAAGCGCCCAAGCCCGGCGCACCAGCAUUCGGCCCAGCACCCAGGCCCAACAUCCAGCAGAAAAAAAAAGGGAAAGGGAAGAAAAAAGAAAAGGGAAAGGGCCCACAACUUUGGGCUUUUUGGUAAUUU